UAUUUCAUUUCAUCAAAUAACAUUAUUAUAAUCAACAGUUUUUAAAAAAUCAUUAUCAAUACGAGCAGCAUCUUGAAUAACAAGUUUACAAAUGGUAACAAUCAUAAUAAACAAUAAACAACAAUAUCAACAACACUGGCGUUCCCUAUGACAACAUCACCACCAACAACAAUUCAUACAAACAACAUCAACAACAACCAGAAACAUGUGAAGUAUGUUUAAAUGCUGCCCUACCCUAACAACUUUUUAAAGCUUCACUUGGAAAGGAAAGUGAGGGAGGUGCUGUCCUCAAGUGAAUUUAUUGAAAGGUUACCAGCAUUGAAUAAUUUCCAUCUGCCACAGCAGCGGCAGUAGCAGCAGCAGCGGCAGUAGCAGCAGCAGCAGCAGCACCGCCGCCACCAUUACUAAUGUCAAGAAUGUGAAGCUGUUGACUUGCCAGAGAGAAAAUAAGCAAUGAAACAACUACAGGGAGAUGGAAUUCGACCCCCAGACGUCGAGACAUAAACAAACGGAUGCACCUCCAGACAGUCUGUUGUAAUAUUGGAUGUUCCUAGUUCGUAUAAAACGAAACUUCACACAUGUUGACGAAAGUCAGAACUAAUCGUUGGUUACAGUUUCCCAAUGGAGCAAUCACUGGUUCACCCUAUUUAUGGUGAUGCGACGAACCAUCUUCGCACCUAAAGCAGAACAAACACCAAAAAGUAUUUUUGUUCUAAAGCAAAGUUUAAUUUUUUUUUUUAACGAUGUUUAUAUCUUUCGCCUGUAUACAUUAUGAAUGCUAUACAUACAGAUACAUGCAAUUUAUCCACAUCUGGCUGACUUUCGCUUGCCUACAUCUGCAGCGAAGGCGUACGGCUCAUUGGUUAGGGAGUUGCACUCACGAUCACAAGAUCGACUUCUGGACCGAGUGGUCCGUUGUGUUCUUAAGCGAAACAUUUCAUUUUACGUUGUUCCAGUCCACUUGGCCGUAAAUGUGACUGACCAGCGUCCCAUUCAGGUGGACUGCUGUGAUUCCAGUCACUUAUACUCCGUGGAAACUGAAUAACCGACCUGAUGAGUCCUGGGGCCCGAGGCAGAAAACAUGCUCACUUAUAUGCAUUAAUAUAUAUAUCGAAUUGCUUCGGCACAGGUUCCAUCUAAAUUUUAGCCUUUGUCAAUUUAAAGCUAAGAUAGGAGACUCUUGGAAAAGGCACGACAGUCUGAGAUGUGGAACCGUAAGCAUAUAAAGUGAACUUCUUAAUCGAACAGUCACACAUAGUUUUGUUCCUUCACACAAAUACUGCCCUCUCGGAUGUUCUCUCGGAUGCUCGCCUCACUCCCGACCCUUGUGUGCAGAUGUUUACCAACACAAAAUGAUUAUCAACUGUAUCAGUGUUAGCAGCGUGUGAGGAGGACCUGGACAGCUUAAGCACUUCUGACUAGUUAGUAAAAUAAAUUAAGAGGAUGUUAAUUUUGCUGUACAUAAGAUCACAUUAGUAACCACAAAGAUUUUUUUUUUAGUGUCUAUGCACUCACACACACACACACACACGUGCAUGUUUGUGUGUGUGUGUGUGCAUAUCUAUUUGGCCAUUUUAUGCACAACUGUAGAACAUAUCUGUUUACGAGUGCAUAUCUCUUUGGCCAUUAUCAGUAAUUGAUAAACGUACAUAAUCAAAUGACAUAUGAUAUUUGUUGAUUCCUAAUUAACUUAAUUACAUCCAAAGCUGAAUAUUUGGUUUCUUUUCUCUCUGAAACUUUUGAUGUUCUUUGAUCCACGAGAAAAAACCCGGAUGGAAACCAAAAUUUAGUGGCUGAGAGAAGUUGUUUUUAAUUUCUUUAUUUUUUUUCUGCUUUGUUUUACCUAAUUUUAAUAAGUGGAGAAAUGCUACAAACACACACACACACACACACACACACACACAUACACAUAUACAAUGGUCUUUCAGUUUUCAUCUACAAAAAUCCACUUGUAAGGCUUUGGCCAGCCCAGGGUUAUAAUAGAGGACGCUGGUCCACCUGCAAUAGUCGAGGGAUUACUGUAGUAGAGAAUGGUUUUAUACUUUUUAUCAAUUUCAUAAGGAUGAAAGGUGAAUAUAGAUCCUGGCAUGGCUGUGUGGUAAACAGCAGAAGUGAGCUAGAACGUUAAAACUUAGUGCCCAUGGCCAGCAGAGGUCAAUCUGUGCCAAGCGGCUUCACUCUGCACGCUUUAGCUUUGUUACUAUGGCAACAGUCCGGAUAGUUAUUGAUCGGACCACAUCUGAAUGAGAAGAGAAGUGGUCAGUGGAUGGAAAUGUGACCUACGAGAGAGGCAGAAGAUGAAAUAUGUGGCUGUCUUUGAGAGAAUAAGGUGACAUCUCGUCUCUUGGACUUUGAUUUCUCUCUGAUUAACUCUGAUUAAUGCAACAAUAAUUCACAAACAGUUCCUCCAUUUUGAUUGUUUUGUUCAUGGAAAUAUUUCCUGCUUUCCUUCCUGGAAUGCCUAGGCAUGUCUUAGGUUCCUACAUCUAGCUAUGGUUUG